UACGAAGGGGGCUAGCGUUGCUCGGAAUCACUGGGCGUAAAGGGUGCGUAGGCGGGUCUUUAAGUCAGGGGUGAAAUCCUGGAGCUCAACUCCAGAACUGCCUUUGAUACUGAGAGGCUUGAGUCCGGGAGAGGUGAGUGGAACUGCGAGUGUAGAGGUGAAAUUCGUAGAUAUUCGCAAGAACACCAGUGGCGAAGGCGGCCCACUGGCCCGGUACUGACGCUGAGGCGCGAAAGCCAGGGGAGCAAACGGG
rnacentral:rRNA from 1 species